GGCAAGAUGGCCGAGCGGUCCAAGGCGUGUGACUCAAGCGAAAGCUUGCCUGCUCAGCAGGUUUCUCAUCUGGGUAUCCAGGCGGGGGUUCAAAUCCCCCUCUUGUCA
rnacentral:tRNA from 1 species